UCUUUAUGGCAAAUGUGAGAUGCAGUGUAUGGAAUGUCAGAUUUCUAGUAUGAGAAAUUAAUGAUUUAAGUCCUUCUUAAAUGAGGCCAUUUACCCAUAGAGGGUGCCAGGCCCGUAUAACGUUAAUGAUUACUAGAUGACAUUUCCAAAGAGUCGUGUUGCUUGAUAGUGCAGCACUAAGUGGGUGGUAAACUCCAUCUAAAACUAAAUAUAACCAUGAGACCGAUAGUAAACAAGUACCGUGAGGGAAAGUUGAAAAGAACUCUGAAUAGAGAGUUAAAUAGUACGUGAAACUGCUUAGAGGUUAAGCCCGAUGAACCUGAAUAUCCAUUAUAGAAAAUUCAUCAUUAUGAUUUUAAUAUUAAUAAUAUUAUAAUAAUGGUGUGCAUUUUUUCUAUAACGGACAUUGUAAUCUAUUAACAUAAAUAUAUUUAUCAUAAGAUCAAGAACCGUAAGUUUAUUCGAAUUAUUUUGCUUGCAAUUUAACAUAGAAUAAAUACUUCUUGAUUGGAUAAAGUGUUGAUAGAUUUAUUGUAUAUAGUGCUUAAAUAAUUGUAUUUUAUAAUAGCAUAUUAAUCAUUGAUUUUUAUGUUUAUUAUAUGCACUUAUAUGAUUAACAAUGCGAAAGAUUCAGGAUACCUUCGGGACCCGUCUUGAAACACGGACCAAGGAGUCUAACAUAUUUGCAAGUUAUUGGGUAUCAAAACCUAAUAGCGAAAUUAACAUAACUUUAAUGGGAUUAGUUUUUAGAUUAUUUAUAGUCUAUUAAUUCAAUCCCGGGGCGUUCUAUAUAGUUAUGUAUAAUAAUAUUUAUAUUAUUUAUACCUCUAACUAGAGCGUACCUUGAGCAUAUAUGCUGUGACCCGAAAGAUGGUGAACUAUACUUGAUCAGGUUGAAGUCAGGGGAAACCCUGAUGGAAGACCGAAACAGUUCUGACGUGCAAAUCGAUUGUCA
rnacentral:rRNA from 1 species